rnacentral:rRNA from 1 species
GACGAACGCUGGCGGCGUGCUUAACACAUGCAAGUCGUACGGUAAGGCCCUUUCGGGGGUACACGAGUGGCGAACGGGUGAGUAACACGUGAGUAACCUGCCCACAACUUUGGGAUAACGCUAGGAAACUGGUGCUAAUACUGGAUAUGUGCUCCUGCUGCAUGGUGGGGGUUGGAAAGCUCCGGCGGUUGUGGAUGGACUCGCGGCCUAUCAGCUUGUUGGUGGGGUAGUGGCCUACCAAGGCGGCGACGGGUAGCCGGCCUGAGAGGGUGACCGGCCACAUUGGGACUGAGAUACGGCCCAGACUCCGACGGGAGGCAGCAGUGGGGAAUAUUGCACAAUGGGCGCAAGCCUGAUGCAGCAACGCCGCGGGCGGGAUGACGGCCUUCGGGUUGUAAACCGCUUUCAGCAGGGACGAAGCUUUUUGUGACGGUACCUGCAGAAGAAGCACCGGCUAACUACGUG